AUUGCAUGCACAGUCUAUCUUCAUUCAUUGUAUCAGAUAGAGACAGUCAGUUUACAGUUAAGAACAUUCUUCAAAAGUUCUACAACUACAUAUAAGAUAACUGAAGCAAUCUGCUGCUGCAUGCUGAGAUUGCUAUAAACAGCUGAGAUUCUGCUAUAAUAGAUAAACCACAUACAUUCACAGUUCUGUACAGACAGCAGAGAAUAUAGUCAGCAAGCUCAAGAAAGCUCACAAAUGAGCUGAAGCUUUGAUGAUCAGUACUCAAUAAAACUAUAAGAAUCAAAUGAACAUCAGAAGAAGUUCUGCAAUCUGUUACAGUAUAGAAGACAAAGUCUGAUUAGAUCUCAAGAAUAUAAGAAUAAACCACUCCUCAC
rnacentral:sRNA from 2 species